UACGGGGGGGGCAAGCGUUGUUCGGAAUUACUGGGCGUAAAGGGCUCGUAGGUGGCCAACUAAGUCAGACGUGAAAUCCCUCGGCUUAACCGGGGAACUGCGUCUGAUACUGGAUGGCUUGAGUUUGGGAGAGGGAUGCGGAAUUCCAGGUGUAGCGGUGAAAUGCGUAGAUAUCUGGAGGAACACCGGUGGCGAAGGCGGCAUCCUGGACCAACACUGACACUGAUGAGCGAAAGCGUGGGUAGCGAACAGG
rnacentral:rRNA from 1 species